rnacentral:lncRNA from 1 species
GGUUUUCAAGUUUUUAUUUACAAGCAGUUGGGGAAACUCAUUACAAUUUUCUAAUAUACAUGCUCUUUCUCUUUUAUACGUACCAUGUAAGCAUUUAUAAUUUAUAAAAUAUGUUUAGGGAAAGCUUCUUGGUUAAUAUUGAAAGUCGUAUGCAUAACUUAAACCCAAAAAUCAAAAUAUUAAUUCUCAAUACUUACUUAACUUAUUAAUUUAAUUACUUUAUAAUAUUAUUAUAAAUAUAUUAAAAAAACGAAGAAUUGCGUCAAGCAAUCCCCUAAUUUUGUUAGUUGCCUAAGGGUGAGUUUAGAUGAGCGAUUGAGUGCGGUGCAGUGCGGCGCGUUUAGUUUAUUUUUUGUCUCACACUACGAUAUCGCUUCAGUAUCUAAUCUCAUUGUCACCGCGGUUUUUACACUAACCGCAAGUAAACACACCACCCAUCCAAACCCACCCUAAGACUUGAUUUUUAGUUUUUCUUUUUAAUUCCAUUAACAAAUAUACUUGUAAUACCCAAUUUUGCCCAGCCCAUAUACAAAUAAUAAAACCAAAAAACAAAUUUAAACCAAAACCAAAAUAAAUAAAACAGGCCCAAAUUACCAAGCCCAAUAACCUAAAAAACUAACCCUAGCCCAACACAAAAUUAAAUCAAGAAAAACCUAAGCAGAAAAACUAGCAGCAGCCACCCUCGUCGCCGGCCCUUGCGCGCCUUCCUCGCACGUGCUCCCACGAUCACCUGCAAAACGGAUUCAAAGAGUCCAAACAAAGUAAAACAACGGGAAAAAGGGAAAUAAGUUGUUCUCGGGCUAUAAAACGGCCAAUAUUGUAUAUAAAAGAGGGGGAGACCAAGGUUGUAUUGAGAGAAGAUUGGAAAUACAAAGGAAAGGAAAAACGGAUUCAAAAUUUUUGAAUAACAGAGGUUUUUGUUAUUCUUUAGUUUGUUUUGUGGAUGUUUGAUUUAUUUAUUUAUACAUUUAGUUUUCAUUUUUAUUUUUUUAUUUUUAACAAUAAUAUAAAAGAGGAGAGGGGUAAUACCUUCGAGGAUUCGCCGUCAAAACUGCGUUCGCCUCGCUCAAAUCGGAGCUUGACGGAGCCCCGAGAAUUGACUUGUCGGAGAACGGCGGCGUUGAGAGCUGGGGCUGAAAAAACUUAGCAGAGGCUUUUUAUUUUUAUUUUUUAUUUUUUUUCUUCUUCCUUCUUAC